rnacentral:rRNA from 1 species
UACAGAGGGUGCGAGCGUUAAUCGGAAUCACUGGGCGUAAAGGGCGCGUAGGCGGCGCGAGUAGUCAACGGUGAAAGCCCGGGGCUCAACCCCGGGUCGGCCGUCGAUACUCUCGUGCUUGAGCACUGUAGAGGCAGGUGGAAUUCCGGGUGUAGCGGUGGAAUGCGUAGAGAUCCGGAAGAACACCGGUGGCGAAGGCGGCCUGCUGGGCAGUAGCUGACGCUGAGGCGCGACAGCGUGGGGAGCAAACAGG